rnacentral:lncRNA from 1 species
UUUAAAUUUUAUUAUAAACUUUAAUAUUGUCGGGUACAUUUGUAAUAGCUGAGAUAUCAACAUCAUACACACAGACUUGACUCACACAUUUUCUUUAUGUAAUCAGCAUUAUUUGGUUCCUUUGAUGUCAUGAUUUUUUUUUAUUCUUAUUAUUCUCAGAAGAAAUGCUUUAAAGAAACGCAUUAUUUGGUUCCUUUGAUGUCAUGAUUUUUUUUUUAUUCUUAUUAUUCUCAGAAGAAAUGCUUUUAAGAAAAAUCACUUUGUAGCUAAUUAAAUUUUGAAUGAUUUGUUUCAUUUUUCCAAUCCAAUAAAUAAAUGCAUUUCAU